CGGACGGGUGAGUAACAUGUACGCGACCUACCUUGUACUGGAGAAUAGCCCCGGGAAACUGGGAUUAAAACUCCAUAGUCUUCAAUGAUCGCAUGAGAAAUGAAGUAAAACUCCGGUGGUACAAGAUGGGCGUGCACCCCAUUAGAUAGUUGGUGAGGUAACGGCUCACCAAGUCUACGAUGGGUAACUGGCGUGAGAGCGCGACCAGUCACACUGGCACUGAGACACGGUCCGG
rnacentral:rRNA from 1 species